CGACAAACGACGACGAGGACACCGAGAAGAGGAACGAAACGGUGGACGAACGACCGAACGAACGAGGCGGCUGAAAGCACCGGAGAAAGAGUAGGAGUAGUGCGAAGAAGCAACGGCGAAGAGGGGUGUACCAAGCGAUAGUCCAAGGACCCGCCGCGCGACCCGGCCAAACCCAGAACCCGGCGUAUAGGUACCGCGGGCUCGCAUUCGAGCUCCAGCCACCCCAGCUGCUCUAUCCCCACCAGACCAGUCAACCCCCUCGGCCAGUGAUGUGUCGACUGUCCUCCGGACCACGUCGAAAUGUAAAUUCAAGGAUUUCUGUUACUGCCUGUUAUAAGAAUUGUCUUGUUUAAUUAUUUGUAAAUUACAUGCGCUAGUAACUGUGGAUUAUUUGAAAAUUAUAGCAAUAUAUUGCUACUAGCGAAUCAA